AGCGAACGCUGGCGGCAGGCCUAACACAUGCAAGUCGAACGAAGUCUUCGGACUUAGUGGCGGACGGGUGAGUAACACGUGGGAACGUGCCUUUAGGUUCGGAAUAACUCAGGGAAACUUGUGCUAAUACCGAAUGUGCCCUUCGGGGGAAAGAUUUAUCGCCUUUAGAGCGGCCCGCGUCUGAUUAGCUAGUUGGUGAGGUAAAGGCUCACCAAUGCUACGAUCAGUAGCUGGUCUGAGAGGAUGACCAGCCGCAUUGGGACUGAGACACGGCCCAAACUCCUACGGGAGGCAGCAGUGGGGAAUCUUGCGCAAUGGGCGAAAGCCUGACGCAGCCAUGCCGCGUGGAUGAUGAAGGUCUUAGGAUUGUAAAAUCCUUUCACCGGUGAAGAUAAUGACUGUAGCCGGAGAAGAAGCCCCGGCUAACUUCGUGCCAGCCGCCGCAGUAAGAC
rnacentral:rRNA from 1 species